UAGCCACCGCCCCUCCGCGCAGCCCCCGCCCCCAUUUUGCCGCUCGCAAACUUGGGGGCGAACUUGGAGGAGGCCCACCGAGCGCUGGUGGAGGGAGGGUCCGCCCGAGGAAUCCCCGGUUCCCGCGCCUUUCCCUCCGCUCCCUAGACAUCUACCGAAGCAGCCGCCCCUGCGCGCCCACUGCGUAGGCCAGGCCCGGGACGGGAAGGCGGAUCGGGGACACGGACGCGACUCCGCAAGCCCACCGCCGCUCCCAGCGCCUCGGAACCGGCCAAGGGAGUGGGGCCCGCAGACAGCCCAGGUCGAGGCCGAAAGCCAACUCCACAGCACCCCACCGCGAAGUCCUUGUAGUGCUGGGGUGUGCGGUCAGCUCCCCCUGCGCACUCCUGCGCACUCAGAGCUCGCAAGGGGCGGACCGAGCAGGAUGCUUGAGGCCUGUAGUAGACUCGGUCCGGACCCGAGGCCUGGGGGAAGGGGUCUCCGUAGGGACGGAUGGGAGAGAUACAGAGGAAGUAGAAUGGCCAGGCUGUGGACUGCGGUAGGAAGUAGAGGUAAAGACAGAAGGAGACCCCCGGGAUGGAAACCCUGCAGUCCUAGUUGAGGAGUGAAGGGGGCUGGGGGAGCCUGGGCGGUGGAUUCUGCUGGCUGUCGGAUUUCCAGGAGAGGCUGGGGCUAGAGAGUGGGAACUCCUGCAUCAGGUAAGGUGGGUAACAGCACAGAGCAGAAGGAAGGUGUGGGAAGGGAGCAAGACAGAGGGACAGGCCCUAGGGAGCCAGCGGGGAAGCUGGACUUGGACUGGGAGGCAGCAGGGUGCGGGUCCCCGGGGGGCAACUGGGGCAGACCGACUCUCAGGCCCAAGGAGCUGGGAAGUUGGGCAGGGAGCACAAAUGUCCCGUGUGUAGCCAGGUCCUAGUGAGGAUGUUUGUCUUUUGGGGACUUGAGAGCUGGCAGAAGGCCUAAGCAGGAAGCGGGCACCUCUGUUCUUUGGGGAGCAGGCCACAUGCGGCCCACAGGCUCACUGAGGGAGGGCAGGCAGACUCUGUCCAGGUGUGGCCAGAUAGCCCUGAAGGGUGGGGCUGGAGGAGGGGGCUUGGAGGAGGAGCCACUGAAAGGCCCAAGGCCAUGGGCAUCACCAGGCUGGCACAGGCAAGAGAGUGGGAUGGGGAGGAGCAGGCCCCUCACUCAGCCAUGCUGGUGCAGGAGGGAGGUGGGGUGGGCUGAAAGAAAAGUGGAACUAGUGUGGACACGAAUGCAACUACCUGGGGACAAAUAAACAGGCCAACCACUUCUGGGCAGCUCAGCCUGGGCACAGCCCUGACCUCAGCAAUGCCCUCCCAGUGCUGGGGCCCCUCCCACGGAGGAUCCAGAUUGCGGCUCCCAAUAGAGGCCAGCAGAGGUCCCAGUGGCUGCAAGGUCUGUCCCAGCCCAGCUCCUGGCUUUAGAGGCACUGAACCCCUGGGCUGGAGGGGACACUCACCUCAGCUGGAUGGAGGUCAUGAAUAGGCAUAUCAAAUUCCAUCACCUUUCUCCUUCCCCCAGACCUGUCCAGGGAGGGCACCACCUGGAUGGUGCCCCCCAAUCUCCCAGGACCUCCUAAAUGUCUUAGAUCUCUGCCCACCCCUGUCUGCCACCCAGAGUAGUCUUUUUAAUCUCACAUGUGGCUAUCCACCACUGCUCUCAGGACGAGGACCGUCCCCAGUCUCACCUCACGACCCGGUACAUACAUCCCUUGCAGUAGAUGGCAACUUUGGGUGUCAUGGGCAGAGCCCUCAUUUCUCCCAACCACCACUGCACCCCUAGGGGAAGACUGAGAAGUAUGGGAGGAAUGAAGGAUCAUCCACAUGGCACCAGGAUGUAGAAGGAACCCACAGACAAUUGACCACCACGCAGGCAAACUGCUGGAGCCCAGAGCCCUGGCCUGCUGGUUUUGGCCAGGAUGGCUGCCAGAAGGAAGUGGACUUUGAAGGCUGAGGAGGGUUUUGCAUGAAAGCAGGGACCAAGAGCCUAGCCACACUGGAGAGCACAAGUUGGGCUGCCUCAGCUCCAGGGUAUCAGGUGUAACCCUUAGAAACCCAGCUUAGCCCCAAGGCUGACAGUGGCAGGGCCAGGCUGCGCCCAACUCCAAGGCACUCUCCACCCCUCCCCAGGCUGUGCAGGACCUCAGUGAGCCCUUCCUGCCCCUGCAGACCAGAGGCCUCCUGCAAACCUGUGGCUGUGGCUGGUGGCUCAGGUGAGAUGUUGCCAGCCAGCAUGGUGUCAGGACGCACUGGAGAGUGGUGGGGCAUGUCUGGUGCUCCUCCUUUCCAGAAACCUCUGAGGUCUGCAGGAGCUACUGCCCUGGCCUGCCAGGUGGUAGCAGAGACACAGGAAGUGCUGGGUCUGAGACCCACAGAGUGGGGUUCCUACUCUGAACCCAUGCUCUUGCGCCUCACCCUCAGGAGAAAGGGAGAUGACACUGGAGUGUAUAGCCAUCCCGCCCCACUAGGGCUCAACACCGGGUCUGCCACCCCAAGGCAAUGUCAUGUUUCCUCAGGGGUACUCAGGGCCCAGGACAGUGAGGAAGGUCUUCAGGUUACACACACACCCACAUACCACAGCCCUGGGGGCACAGGCCAACUCUGAGGGCUUUGUCUCUACCCUCAAGAAUCCUUGGGGUAUCCAUUUAGGAGAGCCCAGAGUGACUGAUAGUCCCCCUUCCCCAUCCCCUCUCCUCCCAUCAAGGAGCACACACUGCCCCCUUCUCUUCCGGGACAGGAUGCCAGCAGGAACACAUGGCUGUCCCCAUGCUCUGCCCAGUCAACUGGGAAAGGAUGGGGCCUUGGCAAGUUACAGCCCUGUCUGCGGGAUGGCUCUGGGCACAAGGCUCAUAGUAGGAAUCUGCAGGUGCAGACCCUAUGAGGGCAUCAGGAUGGAAGAAAGCUUCAUGUGGUGCAGCCCUGCAGUGAGGCUGGUGUGGACUCACAGCCCAUCCAUGCAGGGUGCAGGCUAAGCCUGGCAGUCUCCAGAGGGCAAGAAAAGCACCGGGACAGGUGAACAGGGGAGGGUCCCAGCUGCUGUGCCAGUGUGGUCCUUGAGACUGGGUGCCUAAGGGUUACCUGGCAAACCUGUAGCACAUGCAGCUCCCCUCCCCAGCACACUCAGCUUCAGGAGGUUGGGAGGAGCCGGGCACAGGCCAGAGGGGCCCCCCCGCCACCGUGAUGCUGCCCCGCUCCCAGGUGCUGAGGCUCUGGUUCCCUGACCCUCAGGCUGAGAGACUCCUAACGAGCUGGGCUGAAACUCUGCAUGCUGCCCUGGUUGGGAGACAAGUUCCAUACCAGAGAAGACACUCAAGUGGCUGCACAACCACCUGUCACCAGACCAGGGAAACGAAGCUGCCUGAGAGACAUGGACUCCACUGAAAUGUCUUCAACCUCCUCUGCAGCACUCAACACAGGCAGUAGACAGGGGGAGGAGACAGAAAGUGGAAGUAAUUCCUUGCGGAGUAGUCAACAUCAAUAUUCUCUUGUCUUCAAAAUUGUCCAAACAGUAAACAAAGACAUGGAAAAAUGUUCAACCUACUAGUAAUUCAAGAAACGCAAAAUCAAAACAUCAGAGACAAAUUUUUCAACUAGCAACCACUGCAGAGAAGGAAAAUCACAAAACCCAAUGCUGUUGAGGGUGUGGUAAAGCCAUACUACUAUGUAUCUGUCUGACAUGCCAGAAAAGGAAUUUGGCAAUAAGUAUUAAGAGCCGUAAAAAUCUUACCUUCUCGACUGAUUAGCCGUUUUUGGUUCUCUAGCUAUGGUGGGCAGAAUAGUGGCCCCCAAAGAUGUCUAGUUCCUAAUCUCCAGAAUAUGCUACCUUAAGCAGCCAAAGGGGCUUUGCAGAUAGGAUCAAGGGUACAAGAAUACAAAAAAAAAAAAAAAAAAGGAUUAAGGGUGCAGACCCUGAGAUGGGGCAGUUUUCCUGGAUUUUCCAGGUGAUCCAUCCAAUUGCAUGAGCCCUUAAAAGUGGAAGGGGAGAGGCCGGGCGUGGUGGCUCACGCCUGUAAUCCCAGCACUUUGGGAGGCCAAGGCAGGCUGAUCACAAGGUCAAGAGAUCAAGACCAUCCUGGCCAACAUGGUGAAACCUCGUCUCUACUAAAAAUACAAAAAUCAGCUGGGCAUGGUGGCACAUGCCUGUAACCCCAGCUACUCGGGAGGCUGAGGCAGCAGAAUCACUUGAACCCGGGAGGCAAAGGGUGCAGUGAGCCAAGAGCACCACUGCACUCCAGCCUGGCGACAGAGCGAGACUCUGUCUCAAACAAACAAACAAAAAAAGUGGAAGGGGAGGCCGGGGGUGGUGGCUCACGCCUGUAAUCCUAGCACUUUGGGAGGCUGAGGUGCGUGGAUCACCUGAGGUCAGGAGUUUGAGACCAGCCUGGCUGACAUGGCAAAACCCCGUCUCUACUAAAAAUAGAAAAAUUAGCUAGGUGUGGUGGCGAACACCUGUAGUCCUCCUAGCUACUCCGGAGGCUGAAGCAGGAGAAUCACUUAAACCCAGGAGGCAGAGGUUGCAGUGAGCCGAGACUGCAGCAGUGCCCCCCAGCCUGGGUGACAAAGCAAGACUCCAUCUCAAAAAAAAAAAAAAAAAAGGAAGGGUAAAGCCAGACAAGAGAGCUGAGAAGUGAGGAGGACUCAACCUGCCAUUGCUGGCUUUGAAGAUGAAGUGUCCCCAGGAAAAGUGGGGACCUCUAGAAGCCAAGAAGGCCCUCAACUGACAGCUAGCAAGGAAAUGGGACUGCAAUUGCCAGGGACUGAAUUCUUCUAACCACCUGAGUGAGCAGGGAGGCAGAUCCCCACUAGGGUCUCCACAAAGGAAAGAUGCCCUGACCGCACCCUGGUUUUAGCCUGGCAAGGCCCAUGUCAGAGGACUUAUGAAUGCAGAAUAAAUUUAUCUUAAGUUGC